rnacentral:rRNA from 1 species
GACGUAGGGCGCGAGCGUUGUCCGGAUUUAUUGGGCGUAAAGAGCGUGUAGGCGCCAGGUAGGUCUGCUGUGAAAACUCGAGGCUCAACCUCGAGACGCCGGCGGAAACCAUCUGGCUAGAGUCCGGAAGAGGAGAGUGGAAUUCCUGGUGUAGCGGUGAAAUGCGCAGAUAUCAGGAAGAACACCCGUGGCGAAGGCGGCUCUCUGGGACGGUACUGACGCUGAGGAGCGAAAGCGUGGGGAGCGAACAGG